UACGUAGGGGGCAAGCGUUGUCCGGAUUUAUUGGGCGUAAAGAGCGUGUAGGCGGUUUGGUAGGUCCGCUGUGAAAACUCGAGGCUCAACCUCGAGACGCCGGUGGAAACCAUCAGACUAGAGUCCGGAAGAGGAGAGUGGAAUUCCUGGUGUAGCGGUGAAAUGCGCAGAUAUCAGGAGGAACACCAAUUGCGAAGGCAGCUCGCUGGGACGUUACUGACGCUGAGACGCGAAAGCGUGGGGAGCGAACAGG
rnacentral:rRNA from 1 species